UUUGAGUCAGGAGCCGUCACAGGUGCUGCAUGGCUGUCGUCAGCUCGUGCCGUGAGGUGUAUGGUUAAGUCCUGCAACGAGCGCAACCCUCGUCGCUAGUUGAUUUCUCUAGCGAGACUGCCCCGCAAAACGGGAGGAAGGUGGGGAUGACGUCAAGUCAGCAUGGCCUUUAUAUCUUGGGCUACACACACGCUACAAUGGAUGGCACAAUAGGUUGCAACAGCGCGAGCUGAAGCUAAUCCCCAAAGCCAUCCUCAGUACAGAUUGCAGGCUGAAACCCGCCUGCAUGAAGUCGGAGUUGCUAGUAACCGCAAAUCAGCAUGUUGCGGUGAAUACGUUCUCGGGCCUU
rnacentral:rRNA from 1 species